rnacentral:rRNA from 1 species
UGGGGAAUAUUGGACAAUGGACCAAGAGUCUGAUCCAGCAAUUCUGUGUGCACGAUGAAGUUUUUCGGAAUGUAGAGUGCUUUCAGUUGGGAAGAAAGAAAUGACGGUACCGACAGAAGAAGUGACGGCUAAAUACGUGCCAGCAGCCGCGGUAAUACGUAUGUCACGAGCGUUAUCCGGAUUUAUUGGGCGUAAAGCGCGUCUAGGUGGUUAUAUAAGUCUGAUGUGAAAAUGCAGGGCUCAACUCUGUAUUGCGUUGGAAACUGUAUAACUAGAGUACUGGAGAGGUAAGCGGAACUACAAGUGUAGAGGUGAAAUUCGUAGAUAUUUGUAGGAAUGCCGAUGGGGAAGCCAGCUUACUGGACAGAUACUGACGCUGAAGCGCGAAAGCGUGGGUAGCAAACAGGAUUAGAUACCCUGGUAGUCCACGCCGUAAACGAUGAUUACUAGGUGUUGGGGGUCGAACCUCAGCGCCCAAGCAAACGCGAUAAGUAAUCCGCCUGGGGAGUACGUACGCAAGUAU